GACGAACGCUGGCGGCGUGCCUAAUACAUGCAAGUCGAACGCAGUGGGGACGGGUGAGUAACACGUGGGUAACCUCCCAUCAGAGGGGAUAACACUUGGAAACAGGUGCUAAACCGAUACUGAUGGAUGAACCCGCGGUGCAUUAGCUAGUUGGUGGGGUAAAGGCUCACCAAGGCCACGAUCCAUAGCUGGCCUGAGAGGGUGAUCGGCCAGCCUGGGACUGAGACACGGCCCAGACUCCUACGGGAGGCAGCAGUGGGGAAUCUUCGACAAUGGGCGAAAGUCUGACCGAGCAACGCCGCGUGUGUGAAGAAGGUUUUAGGGUCGUAAAGCUCUGUUGGUAGAGAAGCGUUAUCUAACCAGGAAGCCACGGCUAACUACGUGCCAGCAGCCGCGGUAAUAC
rnacentral:rRNA from 1 species